rnacentral:rRNA from 1 species
AGUGAACGCUGGCGGUAGGCCUAACACAUGCAAGUCGAACGGCAGCACAGUAAGAGCUUGCUCUUACGGGUGGCGAGUGGCGGACGGGAGAGGAAUACAUCGGAAUCUACUUUUUCGUGGGGGAUAACGUAGGGAAACUUACGCUAAUACCGCAUACGACCUACGGGUGAAAGCAGGGGAUCUUCGGACCUUGCGCGAUUGAAUGAGCCGAUGUCGGAUUAGCUAGUUGGCGGGGUAAAGGCCCACCAAGGCGACGAUCCGUAGCUGGUCUGAGAGGAUGGUCAGCCACACUGGAACUGAGACACGUUCCAGACUCCUACGGGAGGCAGCAGUGGGGAAUAUUGGACAAUGGGCGCAAGCCUGAUCCAGCCAUACCGCGUGGGUGAAGAAGGCCUUCGGGUUGUAAAGCCCUUUUGUUGGGAAAGAAAAGCAGCAGGUUAAUACCCCGCUGUUCUGACGGUACCCAAAGAAUAAGCACCGGCUAACUUCGUG